CAGUAGCCACGGGAAUACGGAGGGUGCAAGCGUUAAUCGGAAUUACUGGGCGUAAAGCGUGCGUAGGCGGUUCGUUAAGUCUGUUGUGAAAGCCCCGGGCUCAACCUGGGAAUGGCAAUGGAUACUGGCGAGCUAGAGUGUGUCAGAGGAUGGCGGAAUUCCCGGUGUAGCGGUGAAAUGCGUAGAGAUCGGGAGGAACAUCAGUGGCGAAGGCGGCCAUCUGGGACAACACUGACGCUGAGGCACGAAAGCGUGGGGAGCAAACAGGAUUAGAUACCCGCGUAGUCCCUGUCUCUUAACA
rnacentral:rRNA from 1 species